AUUGAACGCUGGCGGCAGGCCUAACACAUGCAAGUCGAACGCGUGGCGGACGGGUGAGUAAUGUCUGGGAAACUGCCUGAUGGCGGGGGUUAACUACUGGAAACGGUAGCUAAUACCGCAUACCAUCGGAUUCUCCCAGAUGGGCUUAGCCAGUAGGUGGUGUAAAGGCUCACCUAGGCGACGAGCCCUAGCUGGUCUAAGAGGAUGACCGGCCACACUUGAACUGAGAAACGGUCCAGACUCCUACGGGAGGCAGCAGUGGGGAAUAUUGCACAAUGGGCGCAAGCCUGAUGCAGCCAUGCCGCGUGUAUGAAGAAGGCCUUCGGGUUGUAAAGUACUUUCAGCGGGGAGGCGUUACCCGCAGAAGAAGCACCGGCUAACUCCGUGCCAGCAGCCGCGGUAAUUC
rnacentral:rRNA from 1 species